GUCAAGGUAGCUGAGUGGUAAAGCACCUGGCUUCCAAACCAAGAGGUCCCGGGUUCAAAUCUCGUUGAAGACU
rnacentral:tRNA from 1 species